AACCUAUUGAACAGAAACAUAUGAUUAAUAAAACCAACACAGUGCCUCUUUAUUUUGAGACAAACAGAAACAUAUAAAGAGUUGUAAAAUGCAGAGAUUAUCUUUGUUCUUGAGGUUACACUUUCCGUCUGGACUGCUUACAAAUAACUACUCUUCUACAUUUUUAUAUCUUCCAUUCUCUAGGCAUUCAAGACAUCUUUGUAAUGUAAAUGUUCUUGCUAAAAAAGUAAUUAAACAUCAUUAGCAGACAUAGCAAAUCAAGCUGAUAGUUUCUGAUAGGUCUAUAUAGGUAAUUAAAACGGCUUCAAUCAUUAAGUGGUCGCACUUAAUGAAGAAAAAUAUCACUUUGUAGACGUUCCCUAGGCUUCUCUCAGCACCCAGUUGGAUAUUCAACAGACAUUCGCAACAAGGUAGGACAUUUCAACGAUACUAGGAUAUUUUAAGUGAUUGUGAAAAAUGUAGGUUAUAGGCAAGACACUUGGUAAUUAGAAAUUGCUAAGAUUAAACUUCUGGCAUGUCUACUAAGAAAGUUAUUGACCCCGGAAGUCCGAAUGUCUGAAUAUCAAACCAACUUUACCGCAGUGAAGAGAAGACGGGUGCACAAUCCCAAGAUUGCGGUAAGAAUAAUUUUAUGUAUAAGCAUAUUUUUUGAAGUAGCCCAAGCUGUGUGUUUUAUAACUAAGAGGUGUUUUUUGUCUUGUAAUUUUUAGGAGGCUGUACGGCGUCUCUGAGGCACACUGCAGGCGCUAUGAACCAGAGCAAAGACUAACAUCGCCUCAUAACAAAGCCGUGACCUCCGAUUUGCUUGGUGCAAUUUCAGCAAGUCCAGAUUUACUGCUGAGAAUGACGACAUUGUUUCUGCCUGUAAGACGUAUUAUGAGUCGGUACGCCGGAGCUUCAGAUACAAACAACCUGAACUCGCAUCGCAGGCGGAAAAUGCGAAAAGUUUAGCUCGGAGUCGAUCCAGAAGAAAAAGGUUGCUGGAAGCGAGACGAAGUGUGCUGGCUGAGGAUGAGAUGGACAUUUGGAAGUGCGCCACCAUAGAUCUCAUAUCUGAUGAGGAAGACGGCAUUGUUGACGGGGUGUCUGGAUGGAUUGUGCGGCCACCGCCCUCUCUCAGCCUGGAACUCACAAGUUAACCCACAAACGAAGAAGAAACAGCUACUUCUUGUGUAUGAUUUGAGAAGACCAGCAAUGAUGGAAGUAAAUAAACAGCGACUUUUGUUGCAGUUUGAGUUAAAUCACUCCUCAACUUGGCCAUUUCACCGUCGCAAACGGAAAUACCUAUGACGCAGUUUUUUACCUGAGGUGGGGGGGUUCUGGUGAACCAAUCGCGGCACUUGCGGUCCGCGUAGAACUGAUGCGUAGUGAAAAUUUUGUGAGGUGCACAUCAAGCUAUGCAGAGCUACGAACAGACUUUGGAUAGCCUACGCGGUAGCUACGGCGUAGAACUUACGCAGGACAAUAAAUUGGGCUUAACGGUUGCUUAGUGAUUUUUACAUUCUUGGUUACGGCGGUGUGACAGCAAAAUUCCGGUCGCCGUAGCUGUUCCAUUACCAGCUGUUGCUUAAAGUCCCUAUUAAUGCAACGGAACAAGUUCAAGGACUCUGUCACUUGAUCACGUACACAUCGCAACUCUCUUCCUGAGAGUUAGUUGUUGUAUUUUGACUGGUUAAUAAACAAGUUUUGCAAGUGUGCGAACGUUGCUUUCUUCCGCUAUUUUGUAUGGAAGUCAAUGGGAGGUCAAGUAGUUUUCCCCAAAAAAUGGCCGUGAACCUGUUCAGAGACAUUAUAAGACGUUGCGCCGGUUGUGCGUAUUUCACAAGUGCUUCCGUGUUGAAUGGUCAUAAAUUAACCAUUUUCCUGCCAGCGUUUAAAAAAAAGUUGCCAGUGCCAGCAUUUUUUAUGAUUUUCACAGAAAAUGUUCUUCUUUAAGUAUAUAAACAUACAAUAUAUCAAAUGAAAGAACAGACCAUCUGCUUUCAAACAAACAAAAAAGUUUUAUCUUACCUUUAUUUGUUCUCUUUCCUUGUUAUCACCUCUCAAAUAUGGGUAGGUUUCUUCAAUAAAAAACACAAUUUUGGGCAAAAAGCUAAAAUAAUUAAAUUUUUCGGAAGGACUUUUGAUCAGAUCAGAUUUAGAGCGAUGAUCAAAACAUACAGAGAGUUUGAACUUUUUGCGCUAAGGGCAUACUUCUGGUUUUAGAUGUUGGGUAAAAG